GUCAUUGCGGCGACCGUGGAGACUUUUAAAAUAGAGGCCAACAUGACCGGGCAAGAAGAGCAGGGUCCUUCCUUCAGGUGUUUGGGACUCAACUGAGGGUGUGGGUGCCCCGCGGUGGGGGCUGAACCUUCCUGGGGUGUGGAGAGACGAAGGAGCCCAGAUCCAAGUUCCUUCGUUCCCGCUUUGGCACAAGUUGCCCGGGCGGUCUCAUGAGAGAGAGAGAGAGCUGGGACCCUCCUGGCCCCAGUGAGUGUGGUGUCUUGCUCCGGGUGUCCUGGGGCAACUUUCUAUAUAAAGGCGGGACGUGGGGAGGAUGAGACAGUUAACGUGAGACAAGGGUGUUGACUGUGCAGCGCAGAACCAGUAGUUUGUAGAGAAGAACCAGGUGUGAUGUUGAAUCUGCUAGACAGGCUACUGAAGCAAAAGUCAAGAGAUCCAGAUCCCAUCAUGGGGACACUUUAGAUUGAUACCGGAAAAGCCAUUUCCUAUUGAGCCCAAAAUGAAGAGAGUGCAAAUAAAGAGAAGGCAGGAAUCACAAGCCCUUGACAGACACAUUGCCACCUACAGGACCCUGCACCCAGAUUUCAUCUGCACAAUCAGCUUCUUCAAAGAGAGAGAGGCUGUCAAGUACCAGUUCCUUCAAUUCAGUAAUUUUCAUUCAGUGAUUUAUGUGUGAAGCAUUGAUCUAAGCACUGGGGAAACAGCACAGAGAAGAAGACAAACAUGGUCCCCGGACACAUCAUUCUAGUUUGAGAAAACUGGUAAUAAGCAGAAAAAAUGAUGGAUACAGAAGGAUAGCUGGACGUAAGUGAAAAGUUCCAGAAAACCAUGUCUGAUCCCAUUAAUCAAGCUCCCAACUUGCAUCCCUCCCUGCCCGCUGCUGAGUCCCCUGGUCUACACUCAGAGUUGCAAUCCUGACUCUGGCCACCAAGAGGCAUUACAGCUAUCUCCACAUUCCUUGCUCUUUCUUAAUGAAAAGGCGUAAAUUUUGCAGAAUUCCCUGUUAUCUACACUGUGUGGAAGACAUCUUUUCAGAGUCUAUGCAUGGCUGAAGGGCACAGUUCCUGUAGCUGUUUACACUGGUGAGCCAGGUGGGUCUUCUCAGAGCCCUACCAACUGUCUUGGAGGAAUUCUAGUAUUGUAAUAACAGAACCUGGUUGCUGCCCAGAAAUAAAGGAAAAGAAUUUUCAGAAUGACAGUCCUUAUAACCAGAUGCUUAUCAGCAUCCUUCACAAUGUCCUGAAGAUAAAUUUUUACAAGGUGGAGUCACAGGAGAAAAUCCAAAGAGGAGUAAAAAAUAAUAAUGCUGAUGUCAUGUUAGAGUGGAGGCCCUGGACACUGUUGUGGACCCAGUCUCAAGUUUCUGCUACAGUUAGAAGAUGUGGAAGUGAUCAGGUGCAAAUCGAAUUUUUCACACAAGCGAAGCCCGAGUCAGCAUGGGGGGCGGUGGCGGAGGGGCAGGGAGAGACUGUCAUUGAUAGAGAGUUACUUAGGACACAGUCAGCAGGGCUGGGAUACAGCUACAGUUUUAUAUACAUUCAUGGGUAUAGAAAACAUGGACAUCAAGGCCUUUGUAGGAAAAAGUUUGGUCAUUACUGAGGUACAACAGAAGCCCAGGCUUUCUUGCAAUGUAAUUACAGACAAUAAAAUUCACACUUUUAAGGAUACAACUCGAUGAUUUUCAGUAAACAAAAGUUGUGCAAUCAUCACCGUAGUUGAGUUUUGGAGGUUUCCAUCACUCUAAAAUGUCCCAUCACACUUGAAGGCAGUUAAUCUCUGCUCUCACCCCCAGCUCCAGGAAUCACAGAUACGCCUUUUGUUUCUGUGGAUUUACCUGUUCUGGAUAUCUCAUAGAAGUGGAAUCAUGUAAUAUUUUGUCUUUCGUGUCUGACUUCUUUCACUUUACAUAAUAUUUUUAAGGUUUAUCUAUUUUGUAGCAUGUACCAGCACUUUAUUCCUUUUUAUUGAUAUACCACAUUUUGUUUAUCCAGUCAAUUGGUGAACACUUGAGUUGUUUCCAGUUCUUGGCCAUUAUGAAUUAUGAUGCUACAUAUAUUUUUUGUGGAAGUUUUUAUGUAGACAUAGGUUUCCGUUUCUCUUGAGUAUGUACCUGGGAGUAAAGUUGCUGGGUUAUAUGGCAAUUUUCUGCUUGACAAUAUGAGGAACUCUCAGAAUAUUUUAUUGACCCUGAUAGUCUUGAGGAGUACAGCCUUAAUCUGUUGUCUUUUUCUCAUGAUUAGACCGGCAUUAUGGAAUUUGAGAAAGAAUACUACAGAGUUGAAGUGCCCUUCUUAUCACGUAAUAUUUGGGUUUACAUGAUGAUGUGACCUCACUGGUGAUGUUAACUUUCAUCAUGUAGUUAAAGCAGUGUUUGCCAAGUUUUCCAGUGUACGGUAACUUUUUCAAUUCAUGUACUCUGUUCCUGAGAAGUGAGUCACUAAGUGUGACCUAUAUUCAGGGGUUGAAAUAGAAUUAAGCUCCACCUCUUGGAGGGUUAAUAGCUACAAAUACUAUUUGGAAUCAUUCCAUAAAGACAGUUUGUCUUCUCACACGCUUUUCUUUAUUAAUUCACCAAACAUUUACUUAUAUCAGUAUGGAUUUAUGCAUACUUAUUUUAAAGUGGAAAUAUUUUACUUAAUAGAUAUAUCCCAAAAAAAUUCCAGCAUCAUUAUUUCAGUGGUACACUAAAAGAAUUUUGACUUAACUAUCAGGAAACUGCAAAAGAGCUCCCUAUCACCGCAAUUAUAUUUCAUCACUAUAUUUUCUAAUUGUGAUAUAUUAGUGCUUUUAGACAAUAUUUUUAAUCAUGGCAAAGUUUGGAACAGCAUUAUAACUUCACAUUAUUUCAUUGCCUACUUGGUACCCCUUGAGAAAGAAAUAAAAAACAGAUAAGGCAAGAUUAUUGAAGUAGCCAUAAAAAUUACUGCUAACAUAAAGUAAACCUAUUUAUGAACUCCCUAUCAAUGAAUCAAAAGUAUAAGCUAUGUCAGGUAAAAUGUGUGCUUCAUUUGAAAGCAUGUCAUCUACAGCUCAGCCUUCUGGUUAUCUGACUCUGAACGCUGUUAUACAACUCUAGCUUUUAGGUAACUGAUAGCAUUGCAUACUAUCUUUGUCUAUAGACACAAGGAAAUGAAUUCUGUCUUGAGGGAGGGAAACCUUUUCCUCCUUGGGAGAUACCCAUUUAUCUCCAUUUGAACAUUUAUUUCAACACUCUUGAUCUAUAAAUGUGACAAAGAGGUGGCUGUAGACUUGGGAGAGUUCAAGUUCAGUGGAAGGAUGGGGGAGGUAAGCCCCAUUAGAUAAGAAAUGAAGACUGAGGUGUAGGGAAGUGCAGAGGGAAGUGAGCUGAGUAUUGAGAAUUCUUCAUAGAAUAUUGAUUGCAAAUGGGAGAAUAUAUGUAAAGAGAACAUCAACUAAAGAUGUAGAAAUGGCUCCAUGGCACUGAAUUAUGUUUUACAAUCAUCAGUGAUGAGUCUCUAUGAUUAAUCUGUUAGUGGAAAGAGCCAUCUGAAUUUACCACACCCUCCUUUCCACACUUCACUUUCUUGUUUCUCUUCUGGGGAAGCCUAAAACUUAACCAAAGGGAUGGUGUAGAGUUUGGUCUUAAUGCCUAGUAACUGUUAACUGAGGAAUGACUGAAUGGGUGGAUGCACAAUGUGUCAAACAUGUGCUGAUAAUUCACAAAUUUUUAUCUCCUAGCACAGAGCUUUUAUGCAGAUGACUGAACCCAUGGAGUUAGGUGGCUGAGAGGAUGCAGCUUCCCAGGUCCCUACAACUGAUGGCAGCAAGAUGGGAGCACCCAGCUACAGUGUUCAGAAGUAGAUUUAGGCUGACUACCACACCUUACAUGCUGGAGGGAUCCCCCCUGACCUGAGCAGAGCAGGAAAUUGAUGUACAACAAGAUUCUCUGAUCAGAAAGAGAGGCAGAACUAGCAGCCUGGCUUCAGCGGUGAAGAUACAGAUUUCAGUAGUGACCCAGUGUGACACGGGUAAAGGAAUUUCUUAUGGAGCCCCAGGAAGAAGAAACACUACAUAAGAGCAAAUAAUAAAAUCGGUCAGAUAGACAGAAGAUGGGAGUCAUCAAACCUGUAUCCCUGUUGCCAGACCUACAACUGACCAUAGGACAUUCACUUGGUCCAGAGAGCUGCCUUAGACUCUCCAAUGAAUCUGUUCAAACAGCUGCCUCUGUUACCUUGACUUCUCUCAGAUUUUGUCGACCUGAGAAAUACAAAAAUUAUAGAAUGUAAGAGACGUCCCUGUUCUCAUGUUGACAUACGUAAUAUUACAUAUGCAGUUGAAACUCACUUUGAAGACUUCUCUGAUUGCAAGCCUCCUUCUUUCUCAGAGGUAACACAGAAUUCACAUUAUAGAUUUUAAAGACAUUGCCCUAUACUUUUAUUACAUAUGCAUGUAUCUGUAAGUGAGAAUUGUAUUGUUUUGUAGCAUGGUUUUUUCUAUAGAUGCCUGGCUACCUCAUGGGAAAAAAGGGGAAAAAAAAAGGAAGAAACGUGAGGAGAACAAACACAUAAUCACAUCUCAACAGUAGGAGCUGCAUGGCCUCCUUGUCAUGGGUACUCUUGCAGACAUUAAAACAGACAUGCCCAUUUUCUCAGACUAUAUGCUAUAGGGAGCACAAACAAGCUGUAGCUACUAUUUUCAAAUGCUUUUUCCCAGCGUGUUCAAAGUCUUAGAGUUUCUCUGGAGCUAACUGGCCUAAAACAAUGUCUCAGUGUAUCCUAAUAUUGAAACAACUUCCCAUUUGUCUGGGCCAAAUUAUCUGUCUUUCAUGCUCACUGUAACCCUUCAAGGCCUAAUCCAGAACCUAAUCUUGGCUAUGCUGGUAAAAGAUAGUACAGUCUACCACCCAAAUCCCUUAUUGGCUUGGAGAUGAAUCUUAUUUAGAACUUGAUCUGAUUUUGUUUUACAAUUGUUGGACCUGUGUAUAUUUUCCUUCCUUUUCUUCUACUAUUUUUAAUUGCACAGGGAAGGUAUUUCAAAAGUUUUAAUUCACAUGUGCUGAUUGUUCCUGCAGUUCUUUGCUGAGUGAGACUGUGACUCAACUUUUACUCCAAACCCAGCUGUGUUAGGAUCCUUCCUCUCUGGAGCUGUGGUGCUGAACCCUGGAUGGUUUCAUGCAGUCCCUCCCUCUUUCCCACCCCUGUGGCAGUCACUGCUUGGCUAACUAGGGAGGCAGCAGGUGGCUGAAAUCCUGGUGUGAUGUGGCUGGAUCAUGCAUGAUCUGAGGACUCCUGCACAGCUGACUGUAGGAUGAGUACAGAAUUUUUCUAUAAAUAUACUAAAAUACCAAGUAAGCCAGGAGCAGCCACUAGGCAAACACCAAACCUUGCAUUCCUGGCCAGACCUAUCACAGAGCUCAUCAGGUAAGUUCAAAGACACACCUGUCUUCCCAGCAUUGGGAACUGGAUUGGGUUCUGCUCAGAGGCAUGAUGUUGACCAGAUUUUAUGAAACACCCAAGAAUGUAGAGAACAUUCUGUUUCUAAAACUUUGAAUUCGAAUCAUAUCAGAGAGAUUUGCUUUCCUUAUAUGGAUGUCUGUGUUCUCAUUAGGAGAGAAACAAUGAAAAAUAACUUUUCACAAUGCCUGCCUUAGCCCUGAGGCUCAGCCAGCCCCCACUUCUAUGUCUCAGCAUUUAAAGGGCCAUUGAAGUCCCACUCCAUGCUAUAUAUUCUCAAGAGGUUUUCUCAUUUACCCCUCAGGACAGCUCUGUAAAGAUGGUAUGGUCAGUCCCAUUUCACAGAUGACUAAGUUCAGGCUCACAGAGUCUAGGUCACCUCUCCAGGUAAGUGGCAAGGUUGGAAUGAGAUUCCAUCCCUCACCCUCCCUAGAGAACCCUGAGCAACUUCCAUUUUAGAAGACAGACUUCCAGGGCUUGAGAAAUGGUCAGAUUCCCCCCUGAUAUUGUGGCCCCACAGGUCCUCACUCCACAACUCCUCUGGGUGAUAAGGAAGACAGAAGAGGUGAAAUCCUGCACUUUGUGCCAUGAGAUCUGUGUGUAGGGCCACAUGAGUUGGCUAAUCCUUGAAGUGGUGAGUGGGCUCAGGCAGAAGCUCAGGUAUUGGCCUUCGGACAGUCUGAUAAUGGUGCUACGUUAGUGCCCCCUCGUGACAGAAGCCUAAACUGCAGCUUGAACAUCCGGGAGCAGGAAAGUGGGAGGAAGGGGCUGUGGCCCAAGCCCACCCCACAGAGCUUCCCAGAUGGUAUUUCACCAUGUUACCCAAGCUGGUCUCGAACUCCUGAGCUCAAGGGAACCGCCCACUUCUGUCUUCCAAAGUGCUGGGAUUACAGACGUAAGCCACUGCACUCGGCCGUACUACUUAGGACUUUUGUAACCUGUGUUUGCCCUUAUUAUAACCAUCUUUCAAAUUCAAUUUCAAUUUUUUGUAUGGAGUUGGUGUUUCAUCAUAUGAUGCCCUAAACUUUAUUUUCCCAGUACUCUAGUGGUGAAAAUUUAAUUCCUUUUAAUAUAGUUUCUAUUACAGACAAUAGUAUACUUAACACCAGCCUUUAUAUAUGCAAAUAUCUUUUAAAGCAUUUCUUUAUAAGCUCCUGAAGAGUCCUUUCAAAACCCUGGAAAUUAGAACAUUUUAUUUUAACAUAAUGGUUCAAAAUACUACUACUAAUUUACAUUCCUAAUGUAACCACAGAACUGUUCAAUAUGCUUUGACUUUGUAACAAAGUGAUGAGUUGUUUUUUAGAUGCAGUGGAUACCCAGGUUGCAAGUCAUAUAACCUGAGCAUGCCCAAAUGAACCACGUAUGCCUGAUUGGUGAACCUGGAGCUGGCCAGAACAGAAAAUGUCAACCACAUGUGGAACCUAAGUAUUCAGAUUGAGAAAUGAGGACCAAAAUGAGAAAUGAGAGGUUCCCUGGUUUUUUCCCAGUAUAAACUUAAAAGCCAAGGACUCGGCACCACUUCUUUGCAUGAUCCAAUCAGAUCAUGUGUCGUUGCAUUUCCCUAUGUCCCUCAUAGUUACUCUCUGCCUCCAGACCCCAGCUCGAGGAAACAGAUUUGAGUGUUGCAAUAAAGUUUUUUCUUUCCUCAA